GACGAACGCUGGCGGCGUGCUUAACACGUGCAAGUCGAACGGUGAAGCUCCAGCUUGCUGGAGUGGAUCAGUGGCGAACGGGUGAGUAACACGUGAGCAACCUGCCCCUGACUCUGGAAUAAGCGCUGGAAACGGCGUCUAAUACUGGAUACGAGAAGGGCCCGCAUGGGCACUUUCUGGAAAGUUUUUCGGUUGGGGAUGGGCUCGCGGCCUAUCAGCUUGUUGGUGAGGUAAUGGCUCACCAAGGCGACGACGGGUAGCCGGCCUGAGAGGGCGACCGGCCACACUGGGACUGAGACACGGCCCAGACUCCUACGGGAGGCAGCAGUGGGGAAUAUUGCACAAUGGGCGAAAGCCUGAUGCAGCGACGCCGCGUGAGGGAUGACGGCCUUCGGGUUGGAAACCUCUUUCAGCAGGGAAGAAGCGAAAGUGACGGUACCUGCAGAAGAAGCACCGGCUAACUACGU
rnacentral:rRNA from 1 species